rnacentral:rRNA from 1 species
ACUAGCAGUAAGAGUUUGAUCAUGGCUCAGAGCGAACGCUGGCGGCAUGCUUAACACAUGCAAGUCGCGCGGCCGGGUAACCGGCAGCGGCGGACGGGUGAGUAUCGCGUAGGAAUGUAUCCUGAGGUGGGGGACAACCCUGGGAAACUGGGGCUAAUACCGCAUAUGGACUGAGGUUCAAAGCCGUGAGGCGCCUUGGGAGCAGCCUACGUCCGAUUAGGUAGUUGGUGGGGUAAAGGCCUACCAAGCCUGCGAUCGGUAGCUGGUCUGAGAGGACGAUCAGCCACACUGGGGCUGAGACACGGCCCAGACUCCUACGGGAGGCAGCAGUGGGGAAUAUUGGACAAUGGGCGCAAGCCUGAUCCAGCCAUGCCGUGUGGGUGAUGAAGGCCUUCGGGUUGUAAAGCCCUUUUGGCGGGGACGAUGAUGACGGUACCCGCAGAAUAAGCCCCGGCUAACUUCGUGCCAGCAGCCGCGGUAAUAC